UAGAUUGAAGCCAGUUGUGUUGGGCGUUUAGCUGUUAACUAAGUUUUUGUAGGUUUAAGUCCUACCAGUCUAG
rnacentral:tRNA from 1 species